rnacentral:rRNA from 1 species
AAUUAACGCUGGCAGAGUGCAUAACACAUGCAAGUCGAGCGGGACUACUUGAGAUUACAUCAACUGGUAGCCAAGCGGCAAACGAGUGAGUAACACGUAAGCAAUCUGCCCCCCGAAUGGUGAACAACUCGCCGAAAGGCGAGCUAAUACACCGUAUAAUCCUCUGAAGGCAUCUUCGGAGGAUGAUAGGCCAGCAAUGGUCGUUCGGGGAGGAGCUUGCGGCCCAUCAGCUAGUUGGCGGUGUAAUGGACCACCAAGGCUAUGACGGGU